UGUACCGUUUCAUACAUCCCUUCCUCACUCCCGUCCACGAAUCCACCCUCCCUCCCAAAUCAGCAUGCUGUCGUGAUGCUGGCGGCGAGUUUGAGCCAUUUCAACGAACACCUUGUGUGCAUCUGGUUCAUUUCGUUUCAACAGCUUCAUCUUGUUCCUUCCAUCGUCAAAUCUGUUACAGUAUCAUCAAGAAAUUAGUCACCAUUCCAGCAGCAUACAAGAGAAAUUAGCAAGUGAGAACAGGGAAGUUGGUUAUAGUGAAGGCGACGUGUUCAUCAAAAGAGUGGUGGCAAAGGCUGGAGACUAUGUUGAAGUAAGAAUUCACGUGCAUUUUACAUUGGCAGUUAGUUCCUGAAGGUUACGCCUUUGUGAUGGGAGACAAUUGCAACAGCAGUUUUGACUCUCACAACUGGUAAUUCUGGAAACUUUGAAUUGCUGAUGAUUUUUUGGUUUGAGAAUAAGUUGAAUUAGGUGGGAAAAUAAGUAUUUUCAGCCCGUGGCUUCUACAAAUAUUGCAAACAUGCUUAUGUUAAAAUCUUAUUCAGUGAAAUUAUAUAAAGAUGUAUGAAGAUUAACAUAAUUUCGAUCAAUAUUGCUCUGUAUUUGCAGUUGUGGGUGCAUUUGGGUACUCAGUUGCUCUCGCUAAGAAACGAUGUUCAGAAAAAAAUAAAGUAUAUAGAAAAAUUGAUCAUAUUGAUUUGGGUGCCAACCUUGUAAAUACGAUGGACAUCUAGGCUGUGAUGGGAGAGGGCUCUUGGAUAUUUUCUAACAUAUUUUUGAGCUCUUUUGCCCAGUUUGGACAGUACUGAUAUUCAUUUUUGGAUGUAACAUUUGUUUCCUCUCAAAUGUUAUUACUUGCUUAUUUCACCAUCGACUAUCAAUUAGUAAUUGUUUUAUUACAUUUCCUGAUGACAAAUAAACAAAUAAAUUAUGAGCCACUAGCGUUAGAUGUAACUAAAUUGAUCGAUCACAUUGCCUGCUUAUAGAAGAGGGAGAUUUUCCGGGUUGGGACGAUGAAUAGAAUAGUUGGAAUAGAGAUGGGUUGAGAAGAGGGAGAUUUUCAGGGAGAAGAAAGAGAGGAAGCUAGGACUGAGAAUGGGAUAUUUUCCACUGGACUCACACUUACAGUAAAUAUCAUAAGACUAUUACGUGUCUUAAUUUCAUUGAGUGGUGUAAAACGAGGAAAGACACCCCGACCUGUUUGAAACUUUUUAUAGUGUGAAUUUGGGAAACUUCGGCUAGUUUUUGGUCUCUGGAAUUGGGUUCGGGGCUAACUUGAUUUCAAUCUAUACAAAGUUAGCCAGUCUGCAACCUAGGAUUCAAUGCCAUAUUGGACCAGCUUAGACAUGUUGCAUGUGCUAUGAGUAUUAAAAUGCAUAAUAUGCCACAGCUAGCUCCUGCUAUAAAUGUCUUCAAAAUCAAAUGAUCGAUUAAUCAUCUACACUUGUAAAAUCAAUGUUGGCUUGCCAAGUGUCUGCUUAUUGUAACAGAUUCCCAGUCAGCAAGAACUGAAUUGUAUUAAUAAACAUAAAGCACAGAUUAUGAAAUAGCUAACAUAAACUUUAUAUCUUGUAUUAAUUGCUGGGUUGAUAGUUCUAAAAAUAUCAGUGGGGGUGAGAGAUUUUUGUAGUUCAUAUUGACACUGUAUGAGACACGUAGUAGCACUAGCGAUAUCUCACGCUCAAUAAACUUUCGUCAAAAUGAAUAUCCAAUAUGUUAUUGUGAUACUAAAGCAUGUCGACGUACUGCUCAUACGGAAGAUAAUGAGGAGCGCUGAUUUUUCAGUUGCCAAAACUUUGAGGUAUGUUAUUUAUUGGUACUCUUGUUUCUUAAGCCAAUUAUUGGUAAUCUUGGUUUGCUAAUAUGUGUUGAUUUUGCAGGUUGGACAUUCUUGCGGAUUUUUUUUUUUUUUAUAUGACCCUGAAAAACCACCGUAUGGUGAAAAGAGAAUCAAUCAACUAAAAACUGAAUUUCAAAAGAUACAACUAGUAAUGGAUAUUGAAACAAGUCGACAUCGAGUAGAAAAAGAAACUGAGAGGCGUAAGAGAAAACUUAAGAGUGUCAGUUUAGUUAUAGUAAUUUCAAUGUUGUGGGUACUUUGUUUACGAUUUUAUUUUGACAAAUUCUGUGAAAACAAUGUGACCACGAUGUAAUUUGUUUA